CCUACGGGAGGCAGCAGUGGGGAAUUUUGGACAAUGGGCGCAAGCCUGAUCCAGCAAUGCCGCGUGAGUGAAGAAGGCCUUCGGGUUGUAAAGCUCUUUUGUCAGGGAAGAAACGGUGGUUCCUAAUACGGACUACUAAUGACGGUACCUGAAGAAUAAGCACCGGCUAACUACGUGCCAGCAGCCGCGGUAAUACGUAGGGUGCAAGCGUUAAUCGGAAUUACUGGGCGUAAAGCGUGCGCAGGCGGUUAUAUAAGUCAGAUGUGAAAUCCCCGGGCUCAACCUGGGAACUGCAUUUGAGACUGUAUGGCUAGAGUGUGUCAGAGGGGGGUAGAAUUCCACGUGUAGCAGUGAAAUGCGUAGAUAUGUGGAGGAAUACCGAUGGCGAAGGCAGCCCCCUGGGAUAACACUGACGCUCAUGCACGAAAGCGUGGGGAGCAAACAGGAUUAGAUACCCUGGUAGUCCACGCCCUAAACGAUGUCUACUAGUUGUCGGGACUUAAUUGUCUUGGUAACGCAGCUAACGCGUGAAGUAGACCGCCUGGGGAAGUACGGUCGCAAGAUUAAAACUUCAAAUUGAAUUGACGGCUUGNGAGNGCGAGACGACACGAGGAGGAGG
rnacentral:rRNA from 1 species